rnacentral:rRNA from 1 species
UACGAAGGGGGCUAGCGUUGUUCGGAUUUACUGGGCGUAAAGAGCGUGUAGGCGGCCACGCAGGUCCGUUGUGAAAACUGGAGGCUCAACCUUCAGACGUCGACGGAAACCGUGUGGCUAGAGUCCGGAAGAGGAGAGUGGAAUUCCUGGUGUAGCGGUGAAAUGCGCAGAUAUCAGGAAGAACACCAAUGGCGAAGGCAGCUCUCUGGGACGGUACUGACGCUGAGACGCGAAAGCGUGGGGAGCGAACAGG